GCCUGUGACAUCAGCAUUCUAGAAAGUGGGACAGGAGGGCCUGGAGUUAGAGGCCAGUCUGGGCUAUGUAAUUUGACUAUGUCACAAAAGUAGGGAGAUAAAAGGGGGGAUGAGUGAAGAAAUGAAGGUGAAGGCUGUGUAGCAGGAUCAACCGUGUUGGCAGCUGCUCCUGGAAGCUGUAAUUUGCUGAUUUUUUUUUUCUGUAUUGUUAAAAUCUCUGCCCUGUCUGUCCUGUUCCUUAACCUCAUUCUUCGUUUCCCCCUCACAUCGGAGCUGGAUUCUCACAAGGUAGCUCAGGCUGCAGACUCUCCAGUGUUGGGCAAGUUACAGGUAAUGAAGCUACUGUUGCUUGUCCAGGCCACACUUUCAGAAGUGUUGAUCUAGCAUGCCUGCCUGAGUUUACUGGAACACAGAAACUCAGGGACAGAAAGUGGUCAACUGCCAUGGAACUGAAAGGACACAGAUUCCUGUCACCUGGUGGAUCCCAUGAGUCACCUGGUGGAUCCCAUGAGUCAUACGAUAGAUCCCAUGAGUCCUAAGCCACUGAACAUCUUACCAGACCAUGCAAAGCCCUCACAAAGUAUAAUCCACGUUAUUUUGACGGGAAUGGCUGCUCCAGUUUCGGUAGAUCAGAGAUCUUGUGAAAACCUUGUGAAAUAACAUCCGGAAUACUGAAGUCCUGAAGAUGAUGAAGAUCCAGGGGUCCACUAUGGAAAUCACAGACAGGAAACGCAAGGCUUGGAGGUCUUCUGAGUCUCCUUCAGCUCUGUUCUCAAGUUUAAAGGCUCCAUAGUACGCACGAUACUGUUGGGAAGGAAAAAUCGUCACACAGAUAAAGAUAAAGAAGGUUGACAGAAGGAAGGAAUUCCAUCAUUUUGUUUGUCUUAGCCUGGAAUUCUCACCCUAUGGCUGAUGGAUGUGGAUGAGAAGCCUGAAAAGAGGAGCCUGAGGGACAUCGGGACCCAUCUGACUGCCUCCCUCAGGGCUGUUCUGCAUUCUCAGGUUUCCAGGAUGGCACAAGACUACAAAGACCCCAGGCUUCCCCACAAAAAUUCAUGAGGUGACCAGAUGAAAGAACUGGCCAUCUCAUGUAAACUGAUCCUUUUACUAAGGUAGAUUCUAUGUAAAAUGGGAGUAGGAGGUACCCAAAUAUAGAUGUCUACUUACCUGUGCCCAGCCUCCUUCUAUGCCUUGAUGUCACCUGGGUCCCUGCAGUUUCCUCAGAGCUUUGUGAAGUGCCUCAAAUCAUGACUCUCCCUGCUGACCUUCAGGUUACACUGCUACCUAGAUUGGCACAACUCCAGACCACCAUCUGAGGCUGGAUGCUUUUUCUUAUGGCAUUAGACUUCCCCUGCCUACUAGAUCCUAAAUCCACAAUGAAACAAAUUAACUCUAAUGGAACCCAAACUUCAGAAAUACAAUAUUAGUGGGAUAAUUGUGGUUAAAAGCAUUGAAGGCCACCCAGAAACAUGUCUCAGAAAAGAUGCACGUUCCUGAAACCAAUCUCCUUAGCCUCUGACUCCCUUCUUUGCAUCAUUUCAGAGCAUGAGGAAGUUGUUUUACAUCACACUCAUCUGAUACUGAUAUAUGGACACUGUCUCUCUUUAUUCCUGCUUCAUAAUGCCAAUAGUAAUAAUACUGACUAGUGACUACUUAGACCCUCUACUUCCUUGGCAUGGUUCUAUGUCUUUUAAGGGUUCCCUGUUCUUACAAAAGGCUGUGUGUGAAGACAGUCAUUGUCUUCCUUGUACAAACCUGGAAAUGGGUUAAACAGACAAAAAGCACCGUCCUUCAGAUCAGCUUCAAAUAUUAUCCCUUUUAGGAGCCUCACUGAGAUGGUGGCUAAAGGUCUAAGCAUCCAGGUUAGAGUCCUCUCUUCAGACACAUGGCUUUUAGGGAAGAUGUGGUUUUCCUAGUUUUACAGGAAGGUCACUGUGCCUGGUUUCCAGGAUUCUCAGGAAGUCAGAAUGAGGUGGUGUGAAGAAAGCUUCAAGAACAGGUUCUGGUAUAUUAUAAACACUUGAUAAUUAACUUGUGUAUUAUUUUCUCAACCAGAAGGUGGCCCUUUAAUCUUCCAAGUUCUCCUUUAGCCUUCACCAUUCUUUUCCCUUGUAGCCUGUGAAGAUGCAUAGGAUGUUUCUCUCAUCUUUAUCUCACUCAGGUACAGAGUGUGCUGGAUAGGGUAGGUAGGAAGAGGUCUGAUAUCUACUGUAAGGAUAUGGCUCAGACCACAACCUUAUAUUGAUUUUAAAACCAAAGAUUUCACAGAUGUAGUAUAUAUUUGUUAGUUUCCUCCUCACGGAGGAAUGUGAUGAAAUGUAAUUCCAACCAAAAUUCCAACCAUGCAAGAAAGCUUGAUAAAGGAAUGGGUCUUUUAUAAUUAAAUAAAAACUUUUUAUUCUUUUGC
ensembl:antisense Gm17173 predicted gene 17173